ensembl:rRNA 5S_rRNA 5S ribosomal RNA
UGCCACAGCCAUAUCACCCUGCAGCCCAAGACUGAUUGCCCACUGAAGCUAAGCAGGGUUGAGCCUGGUCAGUACCUGGAUGGGAGACCUCCUGGGAAAAGCUAGGUUGCUGUUGAAA